rnacentral:rRNA from 1 species
AUGAAACGUUGGCGGCGUGGAUUAGGCAUGCAAGUCGUACGGGGAGCAAUCCUCGUGGCGCAAGGGUGAGUAAGGCGACGGUAACCAACCCCAGGGCUGGCCAUAGCCGCGGGAAACCGCGGGUAAUAGCCAGCGAUGCAACCAGUCGGCAUCGGCCGGUUUGUCAAAGGUGUGAUUCCGCCCCUGGGACGGGCCGUCGUGGUAUUAGGUUGUUGGCGGGGGGUAACGGCCCACCAAGCCUGUGAUGCCUACCGGGCGUGCGAGCGUGGCCCGGCACACUGGGACUGAGACACUGCCCAGACUCCUACGGGAGGCUGCAGUCGAGAAUCUUCGGCAAUGGGCGCGAGCCUGACCGAGCGACGCCGCGUGGAGGACGAAGGCCUUCGGGUUGUAAACUCCUGUCGAGGGGAAGGAAGGGACGGUGCAGAGGCCGUCCUUGACCGCUCCCUGAAGGAAGCACGGGCUAAGUUCGUGCCAGCAGCCGCGGUAAGACGAACCGUGCAAACGUUAUUCGGAAUCACUGGGCUUAAAGCGCGUGUAGGCGGAUCGGCACGUCGGAUGUUUGAAAUCCCCCGGCUCAACCGGGGGAAUUGGCACCGAUACGACCGGUCUGGAGGGGAGUAGGGGGACCUGGAACUUCCGGUGGAGCGGUUGAAAUGCGUUUGAGAUCGGAAGGAACGCCCGUGGCGAAAGCGAGGUCCUGGGCUCUUACUGACGCUGAGACGCGAAAGCCAGGGGAGCAAAACGGGAUUAGAUACCCCGGUAGUCCUGGCUGUAAACGAUGGGCACUGGGUAGGGGGCUCGCCGAUGGGCUCCCUGCCGCAGGGAAACCGUGAAGUGCCCCGCCUGGGGAGUAUGGUCGCAAGGCUGAAAGCUCAAAGGAAUUGACGGGGGGCACACACAAGCGGUGGAGCAUGUGGCUUAAUUCGAGGCUACGCGCAGAACCUUAUCCCGGGCUUGACAUGCACGGAUUAGCACGCGGAAAACGCGUGUGAGGCCGCAAGGUACAACGUGCACAGGUGCUGCAUGGCUGUCGUCAGCUCGUGUCGUGAGAUGUUGGGUUAAGUCCCGUAACGAGCGAAACCCCUGUGGCUAGUUACCAGCACGUCAUGGUGGGAACUCUAGCCAGACCGCCGGUGCAAGCCGGAGGAAGGCGGGGACGACGUCAAGUCCUCAUGGCCCUUAUGCCCGGGGCUUGCACACGUGCUUACAAUGGGGCGCAAUAAAGCGACGCUAGCCCGCAAGGGCGCGCCAAUCGCAAAAACCGCCCCCCAGUUCGGAUUGCGGGCUGCAACUCGCCCGCAUGAAGCCGGAAUCGCUAGUAAUCGCGGAUCAGCAAUGCCGCGGUGAAUGUGUUCCUGAGCCUUGUACACACCGCCCGUCAAGCCACCAAAGCGGGGGGCAUCCGAAGUCGUCGGAGCCGCAAGGCAGACGCCGAAGAUGAAACCCGUGAUGGGGACU